rnacentral:rRNA from 1 species
CUUGAUGAGUUUACCAAUGAUGACAUCUUGUGGAAGCACACGGCUUCUGGACAUUACACGGCGGCCUCUACUUACAAGGCACAAUUUUUGGGCCUGGUUCUCUCCCCCAUGGACCAAAUGGUUUGGAAGGCUUGGGCGCCACCGAAAGUGAUGUUUUUUGCUUGGCUUGCGCUUCAGGAAAGAAUUUGGACGGCCGACCAGUUGGCCAAGCGAGGGUGGCCAAAUUGUGGUCCUUGUCCAUUGUGCAAGGGCGUGCAGGAAUGUUGA